ACACUUUUCUUACGUAUUUUGACCUCAGGAAUCCGAAUCUGGAAGAAAAAUUGACCUAUCUCUAAAAUUGACCGAGUUAUCGCCAAUUUUCAGCUUUUUGGGGUCAAAAAUAAAAAAUUCAUUUUUUAGUCUAUAUUAAUGUAAUUUGAGCUCAGGAAUCCGAAUCCAGAGGAAAAAUUGAUCUAUCUUCGAAAAUUACCGAGUUAUCGCCGAUUUUUCGCAUUUUUUGGCAUAAAAAUGGAGAUAUCUCGAAGGGAAAAAAUCGCAGCUCAAUUUGGACAACGGAUUCGUGUUCCUGAGGUCAAAAUACAUAAGAAAAGUGCCAUACGAUCAAUUUUAAAAAAUAAAAAUUUUUGGCCAAAAUUUGAAAAAAUCGUAAGGGGUACCCCUUGGAAAAAUCUCAAAUUUUGGCCAAAAAUUUUUAUUUUUUAAAAUUGAUCGUAUGGCACUUUUCUUAUGCAUUUUGACCUCAGGAACACGAAUCCGUUGUCCAAAUUGAGCUACGAUUUUUUCCCUUCGAGAUAUUUCCAUUUUUAUGGUAAAAAGUGCGAAAAAAUGGGGAUAACUAGUUCAUUUUUGCAGAUAGAUCAAUUUUUCUUCCGGAUUCGGAUUCUUGAGUUCAAAUUACAUUAAGAUAGACUAAUAAAUCAAUUUUUUAUUUUUGACCCCAAAAAGCUGAAAAUUGGCGAUAACUCGGUCAAUUUUAGAGAUAGUUUAAUUUUUCUUCCAGAUUCAGAUUCCUGAGGUCAAAAUACGUAAGAAAAGCAUGUUAAACCCAAUUAAAACAAUGAUUUAUUUUUUGCUCAAAAAUCGAAUUCGUUUUUUGGUUCUUCAAGAGUAAUCUCACGUAUAAUCAGCUGAGGAAUCCAAAUCUG
rnacentral:misc_RNA from 1 species